UACGGUAGGGUGCAAGCGUUGUCCGGAAUUAUUGGGCGUAAAGAGCUCGUAGGCGGUUUGUCGCGUCGAAUGUGAAACCCGGGGCUCAACCCCGGGCCUGCAUUCGAUACGGGCAGACUAGAGUUCGGUAGGGGAGGUCUGGAAUUCCUGGUGUAGCGGUGAAAUGCGCAGAUAUCAGGAGGAACACCGGUGGCGAAGGCGGGACUCUGGGCCGAUACUGACGCUGAGGAGCGAAAGCGUGGGGAGCAAACAGG
rnacentral:rRNA from 1 species